rnacentral:rRNA from 1 species
GACGAACGCUGGCGGCGUGCUUAACACAUGCAAGUCGAACGGAGAAACUCUUCGGAGGGGAUCAGUGGCGAACGGGUGAGUAACACGUUGGCACGCUGCCCCCGGCUCUGGGAUAACUCCAAGACAUCGGGGCUAAUACCGGAAGUUCACCGCUUCUCUCGUGGGUGGUGGUGGAAAGGUUUUCCGGCUGGGGGUGGGCGCGCGGCUUAGCAGCUGCUUGGUGAGGGAGUGGCCUACCAAGGGGGCGACGGGUAGCCGACCUGGGAGGGGGAACGGCCUCACGGGGACUGAGAGACGGAGCAGAAUCCUACCGGAGGCAGCAGUCGGGAAUAUGGCGGAAUGGGCGGAAGCCUGAGGCAGCGACGCCGCGAGCGGGAUGACGGCCUUCGGGUGGUAAACCUCUUUCAGCGGGGACGAAGCGCAAGUGACGGUACCUGCAGAAGAAGCACCGGCCAACUACGUG